ACAGACCAGCUGAGAAGUGUCCAAAACCCCUCUACAACCAUAAACCAUCUUAGGAUGGUUUAAGAUAUUAUUGUGAAGCAGGCCAUAAACAGCAGGAGACGAGCAUCGUGUGUGAUGUCUAUAUUAGCAUCCAGUGGAGAUGGAAGACAGAUGUCUUAUGUCAGAUGUUCGGUUGGUCGAGGCCCACGGUCAGCCGGAGAAACCAACCAGACUGAUGCUCUCACCUCGUCCGCAGAUCAUCGCUGGUCUCUGCUAUGGAAGUGCAUUGAAAGGGGGGGUGUUGCAUGGAUCAUUGACCAGUUCUGCAAGGGUAAGGCUUCAAGAUCAGUUUAAACAUACGUUGUCAAUCAGGUGCUGCAGAUGCUCCAGGAGAGAAUCGGAGCUCUUAUAGUGCCCUCUGCUGGUCUCUUGCUGCAUGUCACAAAACUCAUCGAGAGACGCCAUCAAAGCAACCAUUGUCCAGCCAUUCAGACGGGCACUCCGAGAGAGUCUGCAAAGCUACGGGAAAGUAAUAAAAACUAAUACAAUUAUUUUAUAAUAUAAAUGAUAGAAUUCAUUGUGAGGACUUCUAAUGAAACUGAUAGGCUCUUUCAAAGCAAUUCAGCUAUGGGCAGUAUAAUGCAUGCCAUCUAAUUCAAUAGGUUUGAGUUUAUUACAAAAGUACAAGGAAGCACUAUCCUUAUACUUCUAUAAUAAACUCAAACCUACUCUAUUAGAUGGGGACAAGGACUGUUGUAAAAUGAGUUGUAGAACUGUCAGUUUAACCACUUAGAAAUUAUUAAAAAUGAUUUAUAGGACAAAAACCUUUUCAGAAAGAAAAAUCAGUUCAGUUCACUUCUGGGAUUUAAUUUGAUUUGCUAAUAUGUUUCCAUAUUUACUUCUACUGGAACCUCAAUUCAAACAUUUUUAAUUAU